GACGAACGCUGGCGGCGUGCCUAAUACAUGCAAGUCGAACGGUAGCGACCGUUGCUUGCUCUGGUCAUUCCAGUGGGGUACGGGUGAGUAACAUGUGGUUAACCCGCCUUUCAGAGGGGGCUAACAUUCGGAUACGGAUGCUAAAAAUGCACACGUCUUCCAUCGGCAUGGUUUGAAGAGGCAACGAGGUGCAAGUUUAUGCUGAUGGUUGGACCCGCGGUGCGUUGGCUAGUUGGUGCGGUAACGGCUCACCAAGGCGGUGAUGCAUAGCCGACGUGCGAAGGUGAUCGGCCACAGUGAGAGUGAGCCACGACCCAGACUCCGACAGGAGGCAGCGGUAGGGAAGCGUCCACGAUGGACGCAAGUCUGACGGAGCAACGCCACGUGGAUGAAGAAGGGCUGCGGAUCGGAAAACGCUGUUGUUAGAGAAGAACAAGUGCUAGAGUAACGGUUAGCUUCGUGACGGUACCUAAACAGGAAGCAACGGCUAACUACGUG
rnacentral:rRNA from 1 species